rnacentral:rRNA from 1 species
UACGAAGGGUGCAAGCGUUACUCGGAAUUACUGGGCGUAAAGCGUGCGUAGGCGGUCUGUUAAGUCUGAUGUGAAAGCCCUGGGCUCAACCUGGGAAUUGCAUUGGAUACUGGCAGGCUAGAGUGCGGUAGAGGGUAGUGGAAUUCCCGGUGUAGCAGUGAAAUGCGUAGAGAUCGGGAGGAACACCAGUGGCGAAGGCGACUACCUGGACCAGCACUGACACUGAGGCGCGAAAGCGUGGGGAGCAAACAGG